rnacentral:lncRNA from 1 species
GAAUAGGAAGUUUGAAGAGGAAGUGUGAAAAAUAGACUGAAGACAGCGUAAUGUUGAUGGUAAUCAUUAUGCUUCUUUACAGAGAAGAUGAAGAACUCUCUGCUGGCAGCUAUCUUUUUACUUGUUAGAGACUCCUGCCUCUGCACAGACUGGGACUCUCCGUUCUGCCGGCAGCUGCCAGUGCACAUGUUUUCAUCUUCCAGAUUGGGACAACGAAUUGGUGUGUUACAAAGAAUUAAAUGAGGAUCUAACCUGUACCUGGCUGCCAGUACCUAGUGCUGCAAAUACAGUUAAUUACACUGUAUACUUAAAAUGGAACAAAAUACGAAAACUUUUUCAACGAAAAACAUCAUCACCUUCCAUCACAAUAGAACGGACGAAUCUCUACAUGGAGAGAUUUGUAUCCAUUUGGAUAGCAGUGAAUUAUGCUCAUGACACCUGUGCAAAAGGAAAGAAUAUCUCAAUUUUACCAAGCAAAGCAGGAAAGUGCUUGUCACCAUCUAACAUAAAUGCUUAUCAGAUCACAAACCAAUUGAUAAUUAAGUGGGACCUGACGACAGCUCAUGCACAGUAUGAGCUGAGAUACAGAGAGGCACUCACAGAAUCUGCUCCAUGGACACUGGUAAGUACUUCCAGAUGACAGCCUCAUGGGAACAUAAGGUGCCUCAAUAUCAGCUCAGCUGCACAUAUUACAUUCAGCACAAGCAUUGCAAGGAGGCACAGCAAGGAGUCACUUUGUAGGCAGAUCCCACUAAGGCACCUUAGUUUGGUUCUAGCAAAUCAUAAAAUGCUUGGGAAAGAAGGAAUAGUAGCUUUAAAAAAAAUAAAAUAGAGUAGCAUGUUGUCUGGUUCA